rnacentral:rRNA from 1 species
UACGAGGGGGGCAAGCGUUGUUCGGAUUCAUUGGGCGUAAAGGGUGCGUAGGCGGCAUGGUAAGUCGGAUGUGAAAUCCCGGGGCUCAACCCCGGAACUGCAUUCGAUACUGCUGCGCUAGAGUACUGGAGAGGAGAGUGGAAUUUACGGUGUAGCAGUGAAAUGCGUAGAUAUCGUAAGGAAGACCAGUGGCGAAGGCGGAUCUCUGGACAGUUACUGACACUGAGGCACGAAGGCCAGGGGAGCAAACGGG